rnacentral:lncRNA from 1 species
UUCCCAUGAGCAGUCACGCAGCUUUGUGCAGCGCGUGGUUCACUGCGAAGUUCCACCAUCGUGGUGUAUAUCUGUUUUAAUUAUCUAUCUUCCUGUUUUGGUUGCCUCUGUGGGCAGAGACACUUGUCGGCGUCGCCCUUCAGUUCCCUGGAAGUCUGCUCGCUUGCACCGCCCUGGAAUGCGUGGCAAUUUUCUAUCAAGACUCAGAGAUAAAAGAGUCGCUUGAAGGCAUCCUCCACCGAGCCGGCGCCCGAGGAAUCCUGGGAAGUCUAACCCAGCCUGCGGCUGCGGUUGACGUCCUCAAGCUGGGUCCAUAGCUGGUUGGCAUCUGAUGCGAGACACGCCACCCGGAAGUAACAACUAUGCUUUAGCUGGUUGCGUGUUGUGGCUGCCAGACACCCCUGCGGCUUCGGUCAACUCUCUCAGCGCGAAUGAAAUGCGUUCUUAAUCUGCCUGCUGAAUCGUCUAACCGGCAAACGGCGGUGCACAAGCACUGUCCUGUCUCUACUUUUGCCGCUGUCUUUUUGGCGGGGGUGGGUUAUCCGCAUCCGAACAGUGUUCUGCGCGACGAGAAAGUGACUGUUUCCACCAGUGCUUUUUAAUAACGCAGAAUUGUGUACUACGUUGCAACACAAAACAUUGUUGUGGGAAUGGAGUACGGCAUUAUCGCAUAGGCUUUGUAUUUACAACGUAAGCAAGAUAGUCAGGCAAACUGCACAUACAAGACUUAUAGCCUUACGGGGAAAAAUUCAGAAAUGUUUGACGGCGGUGGCUAAGGCCGAUCUUUUCGCUCAGACUGUGUGUUACGCGCAGUCUUGGUUCGGGUGGACUUGGCCUUCAGCAAGCCGAUAUAUCUGAUGAAGGCAGAUACAUUAACCAAAAAAGAAUAUCAUGAAGAGCUCCAUCAAGGCUAUUUUGCAGUCAUUUCUUGAAACAUUGACAACAGGUUCCAUUCACUUAGUGACAUCCGGCAAUGUGCUCGUUGGUUGGAACGUAGGCUCAUGUGUGUAUCUUCGCUGGUUCGUCUGCAUUCGCUGCACCUGGCCCUUCGUGCCUCCUUGAAGUAUUUCUUUCUUACCUUCCGAGAGUAAUUAAAGUCGCGGUUGGAUUAAGACGCGUCAUUUGAUUGAGUACGGAAGCGUCUGCUAUGGACAGAUUUUUAACGCCCUUCACCCGAAAUUCAUGGUUGACCACGUCUCCCACAGCUGCUGUGCCGGCAAAGUGCCAGAUGCUUGUCAUGUACGUGACCGCGAAGGCCGCCAGUGACUCCGGAUCGUCAGUUCCUGAGAAAUAGUAGAAACCACGAGAACGGAAAUAAAGUGGUACACCACUUCGUACAGCACUCACCGCUGCUUCAAAAUGGAGACGAACAAGUGACAUUUCUGCGUAUUCCUCGCAUUGAGGACCUGUUCGUUUGCUACGGAUACAUGGUAUCAGCAGUGGUGCUAGAGCGCAGUACUGUGCAGCUCCGCACUCGUUUUGAAAAGCAUUGCUAUCUGUAUGCGCCUGCGACGUUCCGGCCUAAUAUGAAUCUAUUUUUGGUCAGAUCCUCACGCGGCAAGAUGGGGGGAUAAGUAGCUGCCCACUGAGCCGACCCCGACGGCAGCCUCUCUUUGAAAAACUGCUGCACCCCGGCUUCGGCGAGACUCGCCUCCCAAGCCGUAAAAUUAUCAGAGCGUUCCUGUUGGACUGUAGACGCUCCGGGUGAUGAAGAGCACGCAGAGAAGCCGUAUCGCUUGGUAAAGAUGUCGUGUGUGCUACAUGUUGUGGUGUAAAGGUCACUAUGAAUCGGCCCGAAUUUGCAGGCAGGCUCUACAUGAUCGGCGCAUACGCCAGACUGUGCCGCUGACUGAUCCCUCCGCAAUGUAUCUUUUUCUGGUAUUGGUGGCUUGGUCGUUUCUGGCGACGCCUGUUCUUGUCGCCGGCGUUGUUGAGCGCUCCCAGUUUCAAAUAACUGCUUGAGCUUCUCUCUCUCUUUAAAAACCUGACCCAGUGCCUCUUCAAACCUUUCUACCGGC